UACGAAGGGGGGCUAGCGUUGCUCGGAUUGACUGGGCGUAAAGGGCGCGUAGGCGGUUUGCACAGUCAGACGUGAAAUUCCUGGGCUCAACCUGGGGGCUGCGUUUGAUACGUGUAGACUUGAGUGCGGAAGAGGGUCGUGGAAUUCCCAGUGUAGAGGUGAAAUUCGUAGAUAUUGGGAAGAACACCGGUGGCGAAGGCGGCGACCUGGUCCGAUGAC
rnacentral:rRNA from 1 species